ACUACACUUAAACUUUAUUUAGGACAGCAAACAAAAACAUACUGAAUAAAACUUUUAAACAACAUAGCUAGAAAACAGAAACCAUAUCAUGUUACAUUCAACGUGUUUUGAUUGGAUAAGCGAGAACAUGUUGUCAAGUAAAGAAACGCUUAUAUUAUAUAUAAUAUUUAAAUAUAAAACAUUCAAUUAAUAUCAGAAAGUCAAAGUGUUUUUCCCCUACUUUGGGAAUGGUGCUGGUACAGUUAACGGUACCGGACAGAUUGGGAAAAAAUCCAUCGGUUUGACUUUAAUUGGGAAUUUUAUUUUAGAUGCAAAAUAUUUAUUGGGAAUUUCUUUUAUCCAGGGAGGUGAUGAAAAUUUUGCAGAAUUAUACACUUUAAAAUCAUGUAUUAUUAACUUUAAAGAUUAUUUUUGCUGCUUGAGGUUGAAAAAAAAAUUGAUAAUCAUAACAAUUGUACAUAAAUAAUGUUUAGUAGGUGUGAAACAUUAAGUACGAAAUGAACUGGGUACGAAUAUCACUCAUGUGGUUUUACUUGGUUUUUAUCGUAUAUCACUUAUCAAUACGGAAGGCUCCGAGGCAUGCAUUUCUGUUUUUAGAGGAAUUUUUCAGUGUUAAAUUUGGAAUUUAUCAGUCAUGAAUUGGAAAAUUUGCUGUCUAUUUUCUAUUGGGAACGGUGCCGUUUUCCGGUAUCAGUUAUAUAAGGAAAAACACUGGGUUGUUGUUAAGAUUUUAGUCAUUGACUAGAUUUCUUCCAGAAUUUUUUGGAUUUUACUCUUCUUGUGCAAGUUGUGGUUAUAGAAUGUGAUGAACAUAUUGACUCUUACUUUGUAAAAUGUUCAGAUACAAAGACAGUUGCUAAAAAAUAUCAAGAUCUCAAGUUUGUUUUGCCCCUGUCUUGCAUAUCUGUAAUGGAAGAACAGUCAUUAUCGAUAAAUUAAUAAAAAUGUAAUUUUGGGUACUGUCAGAUCUACAUGUUACGCUACAAGUUUCUUCUCAUAAUUACAUAUUUAACAACUAGUAUGGCUAAUGAGUACAAAAUUUUGGAGGUACUACACUACAAGGCAGAAGAGAAUAUCUGUACUUGCAAGCAGUCUUGAAGACCUUCUGAAGAAAGCUGGUGACAAGCAAUAGUUGCAAGGAGGAAGUUUGAUUGUUGUGCUGGAAAAAGAUGUGACAGAAAUGGAAGAAAACGCCAUCCUUGACAUAUUCAAAACUAAGUAUUGAUGCUUCUAGGGAAGAAAACGCCAUCCUUGACAUAUUCAAAACUAAGUAUUGAUGCUUCUAGAAGACCAACAAAUUUGAGAACCUGAUAUUCCAAAAGACACUGUUGUAAUGUUUGGGCAGACACCCAAGAUGCCAACAUGUCAAAGACUGAGACAGAGUCCACAACUGUUACCACAGCGACAGAAAUUGUAACACCAUCUUAUGUUGUUGGAAAUUAAAUUAAUUCUUACAGUAGGCCACAUCCAACCAUUUGUUGACAAUCUAGAGAUAUUGUUUGAAGCAGUAGCUACACUUAAACCUGGAGGAAAAGAGUGCGAAGAUGCUUUGGAUGUUAUAAGAGCUAUAGAAAAUAAUACAGGAUUCAAACAUGGAAAGGGGUGCAAGACUAAAUCAAUUGUAGUUCUACAUGAGG